rnacentral:rRNA from 1 species
AUACGGAGGGGGCUAGCGUUGCUCGGAAUUACUGGGCGUAAAGGGCGCGUAGGCGGAUCAUAUAGUCAGGCGUGAAAGCCCCGGGCUCAACCUGGGAACUGCGCUUGAUACUGAUGGUCUAGAGUCCGGGAGAGGGUGGCGGAAUUCCCAGUGUAGAGGUGAAAUUCGUAGAUAUUGGGAAGAACACCGGUGGCGAAGGCGGCCACCUGGACCGGUACUGACGCUGAGGCGCGAAAGCGUGGGGAGCAAACAGGAUUAGAAACCCCGGUAGUCC